UGAAACCCAUCAGGUGCCCGGUAAAAGCGCGUUUUUAGAGUAGGUGAAGGGCACAGGUUUUUGGAGUCAGACAACCAGCGUUCACCGGCGGGAAGAUCGUUGACAAGAAACUUCCCGGGUCUGAGCCUCAGUUUCCUCCUAACGUAAUGGAGGCGGCAGCACCUUCACAAGUCUGCGGGGAGGUGCGGCUGAGACGGUGCACACACAGCAGCCCGCGGGGAGUGCGCGAUCGGUAGCAAAUUCUCCCGGCAGCGCCAUCUCCCUGAGUCAUGCAAGGCCCGCAGGGACGCGGCUGCAGGAAACCGGGCGGGACAGCGCCGCCUCCCACACUGCCCGCGGGGGCGCCCGGCACGGCCCGCCGAGCAAGGCGCCGCCGCAGCCCAGGAACAAAGGAAGAAUGGAGCUUCCUAAAUCUUAGGAUCUACAAUUAUGCCACCGGAUCUAAAGGGAAAGGGGAAAAUGAAGGCACGCGUCGCUGUUUCUGUUUAUUCAGAUUCUUCGGAGGACACUGGCUUCACACAAGGAAGCACCCUGAGAAUCACAGUGAGCCACGGUGUGGACGAAGACUCAGGGCCCAGGGCUCAGAGCUUUCAGUGUGUGGCCUGGGGAAAGCUGCAGCACUUCUCUGACCCUCAGUUUCUGGAUCUGUGAAAUGGACACGAGAAUACCUGCCCUGCUUACCCUACUGCAUUGCCAGAAGAAGUGCGCCAAGUGAAGUUUGUGAACAGUGAAACUUCAUGCAUGUCAUGAGUACAAUAGGAUUGUGAUAUCAGUGUCACGCUCAAAAACACACUCUGGAAGGUUGGUUUGUGGUUAACAAUGAUUCAGACUGAGAGAGAGAUUAUAAAGGCCGCGGAGAUUUACAAAUAGAUCGGUGAGAUCACAGCAGGCACGGAAGGGCACUUUUGAGCCGAUGGUGGAGACACGGAACAGGAAGUCUGGCAGUGGCACCAGAGGAGGAAGAGGUGUUGCUGGGUGCUACUGGAGGAAGCUGGAUGAUUUGUUCCCUGACAUGCAGGGGAAAGCGGUUGAGGAAACAGCUUAUGCUGUGAGCUUAUGAUUUCGUGAGUCACUGUACCAUCCAUGUUGAAGGUCACAUGCAAAAGCCAGAGACAGGAAUAGGUGUGCCUUGCCGAGGUGAUGACCGUGCCCGAGGACCUGUGGAGAAGACACGCAGGGCUGGGUGGUCCAGGAAGUUAAAUGAGUUGGACACUCCAGGCAGGUUCUGAGAAAGCCCAGCAAGAGGCCGUGGGAGGAGGUCAGAAUGAGCAACCGAUGUCUGGGCAGAGGCAGCUGACGGCUGUGGUCGGAGGCCAAGAAAACCAGUUCUGAAGGAGCUGGAAUCCUAGGCAAGGUGGCAAGGAUGCCGCUUGGCAGGAAGGAAACCUGGCAGUCACCCUGGAACAGAACCAGAACUGCAGGGCUCCGGGAGGCUUGAUGCCUGGGAGAGAGAAAGGAGGACUGUGUUUAGGUCUUGUUCCUCCAGACAGCAGGUUGGGAUAGCAGGAUCCUUGAGAGGUGGGACAUAUCUCAUUCCUCUCUGUAGCCUCGCUACCUAGCACAGUGCCUGACCUAUGGAAGGCACUCAGCCAGUGUUCGUUGGAAUGAACCGACAGAUAGAUGAACAGCAAAUGAAUAAGGCCAAAUUCAAGAUUCCCAAUGAGCUUGGAAUUUUUAUUCCCUCCUUUGGUGGCUUUUGACUGCCUUAGGCUCUUUUCUAGUGCCAUAUAGCUAACGCCAGGACUACCCUCAGUGUCCCUCCUGAGAACUCUUGGCCAUCUGGCAUGUCUCCAGUCUCCUUCCUUUCUCUUUAUAGGGUGUCUGCAUUCAAGAUGGCUGUGGUCCACUUAGUGGCUUGUUUCCAUGGCAGCAUGCUUCUUCAUUAAGCUAUACCCAACCCCUCUCUAGUUACUAGCCUUUGCUGUACCUUAUUCAGUUCCCAGCCGUGUUUACAUCCUGUCCUGAUACAGAAUGUCUUUCAUUAAGGGAACAUUGUCUUCCCAGAAUUAACUUAAAAAAUGCACUUAAACACAUAAUGGUAUGACUUUUUUUUUCCAACUAGAAAUAUAAAAUUUCUCCACAACUUCUGUGCCAAAAAAUUAAGUUUCCUUGUCAGCCGUUUUCACUGACUCUUCAAAACUGUUUCCUCCACACAUAGUGUAUGCCAGCCCUGGAAAGAGUCUCCGGGAGAAGCAGGUGGCUCCCAACAUAAUGUCUGGCUCUCACAUUUUCACCUACAUCUGGGGACUCUGCCCCCUGCUGGUCGUUGUCAUGAUUAUAAUUGCCAGCAGUCUCGCCCUCAGUACUGACGAAUACGAACACUAACUCAAGAAAAUAGAGGAACAAGAGUCACAGUGCGCAUUUAAUUUUAUGUUACCGUGUCAUUUGUAUUAGACCCAUCCAUUUCUGUUUUUAAGGCUCCUGACGUGGUUUUCAUCACUUUAAUGAAGAAGGCUCUAUCUGACCCAUUAUUAGAAUCCAUCUUGCUCUACUCACAGAGUGUGGCUUGCCCGUAGCUUUUUUCUCAGCUGUAAACUUGUAAGACUCAAGAAACACCGAGGUGGUGCCCACUACUGCCAGUUCAAGUUCUACCUUUCUUUUUGACAUGGAUUUUCACAUCCGCUGGCAGAAUUUCUGCCAUGCAGUCGCCACUUGCAGCAGCCAGUGAGGGUAGGCUUGUCCUUGGUCCAACAGCUAGUCCCAUUUCUCAGUUGGGGCCCGUCACCACUAUUCCUCACCUUCCCAUGAAGCACCAUAUUGAUUCCCACAUUCGGUAUCUCCCACUUACUAGGCCUCUCAUGGCUCAGCUCGGUGCAUUGCCAAGAUCUUCCACCCGGAUCCUUUCCUCAAAGCUCAGCGGGACUCUACACAGCAGAACACUCAUUGUGGCUAGGGUAUAAACCCAAGUUCCUUAGAACAGCUUGCCUCUGUGCAUUGAAAAUCCGGUUUUGAUUUCCCCUGCUCUUUCCAUGCCUGCAUUUAGAGCUAAAGUGCACCAGUGGAUAUGCAAAGUUCAUCCUAACCGUGCAGUUGUGCUAUGACCAAUUUAGAAAAAAACAUUGUCUAAAGAGGUGGUUCUGUAUACUGUGCGUGGUGUAAUUCUUAUAGGGAAAGUGAAAGUCUUUGUCGUACUGGGUUGAUCCGCGUCCCCUUCAAAAAUACGUUUCAGUCCUUAAUCCCCGACACCCUGAACGUGACUUUAUUUGGAAUUGAGUCUCUGAAGAUAUCAUCAAAUGAAAAUGAGAUCAUAGUGGAUUAUGGUGGGCCCUAGCCCAAUGACGGCUCUUCCUAUAAUAAGCGAGAAUAGGAAAGAAACCUGUCAGUGUGAAGACAGAAGAGAACGUGGAGUUAAGCUCCCAUAAGCCAAGGAAUGCAGAAGAUUGCCAGCAACCACCCAGAAGGUAGAAGAGACAAGGAAGGAUUCUUCUGUAGAGACUUUAUUCAGCUUCUAGCUGCGAGAGUGUACAUUUCUGUUGUUUUAAGGCACUCAGUUUGUGAUAAUUUGUUAUAGCAGCCCUAGCAAACAAUACAUUCACCAACCAGAAAACUAGAAAGAGGUGAGAGGUUCGACUCUCAAAUGUUGUCAUCGUUUUGCCUCCAAUGUUCAGCUUCCCCCAAGGAUAGAUGGGAAUUUGCCCAUUUGGUUCUUGGAAGAGAAUACUUUCUGUACUUUCGGACAUAAGGGAAAAAAAAUGCAGCGAUUUCUUUCUCCCCUGACAUUAGUAACGUUAUUACCCAUAAUGCAUUAGACACUUAGAUUUGAGAUACUACCUAAAUAUUUACAGCUCUUCCUAGAGUGUGACUGUGUGAUAUCCCAAAGAGAGGCUACUUGUGAACCACCCCUGACCGCACCACAGCCUGCCGGACCCUCCUCUGGUGCCCAGCUAAUGAAUUAAAUGUGGCUGCUUGAGUGGAUUCAUUAGCCUGCGAGGGCGGCAAAGCAACUUGGAGGUUGGAUAUGAUAAGUAAUGCAGGUUAUAAAUGGCCAUUAAAUGUUCUUCCAAGGAAAAUUGCUGAACAAAAUGCUUUUAAACUUAUUUUUUAUUUUUUGUCUUUGGAGAAAGAGUUCUAGAGCUGGAGGUGAUGGAGAAGCUCAAGUAGGUAUGGAUCCAAAUCCACUGGUUUGGUAGGGAAAUGAUAGGAGCAGUCAGCACUGGUCAGAAGGGAAAUUUAAGAGAUGUGGCAGCAGUAGAAUUGGUUGGACGUUGCACUGAAGCAGAGUUGCAAACAAGGCUGACUCCUAGGCUGAGGAAAUCUGAAAAACUUUGGGGUCACUGAGUGUGGUAGGGAAUUCAAGUUCAAGAAAAGCAAGAAAGAGGAGGUGAAGAGGAGGGUCUAUCAGACUCACAGGCUAAUAAAGCUUGGCAGAGCCCUCAUAAUCAUUGGCUCCAAGUGCCACAUCCUACGGACGAGGCCACUUGGGGCCCAGAGAGAUGAAGCAGUCAACCAGAGUUCCACGGCUAGCAAACGGGUAGAGCCAAAAUCAGAAUCCAAGGCCCCUCUCGUAAUCCAAAUUAGAGACCAAGAACUGGAGAAAGACCUAUGGAUGUAGAUUUUGUAGAACCCCACUUUCUAGCUGGCAACCCACAAAGGAGAAUAUAUGGAACAGAGAUGACAAACCACAAACUCAUGCUUUGACCUUUACUCUAGUUUUUAAAAUUAGUAGUUAAAUUUGUUUCUAACACCUAAAGGUCAGGUGAGUUCCCAUGGCACUCUAGGUUGCUGGCUGCUCCGGGAAAAGUCAGUUGGUCUGUGAGAAACUAAGGAAGAGCUCCUUCGUGUCAGAUGGGCCACAGGCUGGUGUACCUGCCCAGCUGGCGGGCUUCACAGCUGAUAUCCCCCACCUGGCCCCGCUGGACCCUGGAGUUCACAACCCCUGGGAGAGGGGAAGAAAGGCAGGGGUCCUGAGCCUGCGGCUGAGAAGCAGAAUUGGAAAUGGCAGAGGGUGAAGGGAAGGAACCUGAAGACAAGAAGGCCCAGGGAGCCUAGGUCACAGAAGCAAAGGUCUCAUCCAGAAAUCCAGGGGACGGGACGGACUUUUCAUCUAUUUUUGGAUAAAGUAACAGGAUGUGGAAACCAAAAAAAGUGGGCAAUUCUCUGAUCCUGCACAAUGGUGAUGACUUAUGCAAAACAUCCUCUUUCCUAUUUUUAACUAGAUCACAGAAGCUGCGUCAGAGGGCUCGUUGCUGACUAAUCCUGUUGUGGUGCCUUUCUCUGAAUUGCAUAAAUGCCAUCUACAUAGGCGAAAGAACAUUUGAGAAGGGGAAAAAAGUCUGUAAAGACUAUUGCACACAGGGCAUUCUUAUAAAUAGUAUUCUGAGUGAGAUCAGGGUGUUCUGGGCCACCACUUUCUGGAAGUUGUCUAGGAUUUCAUGGUUGAAUGAUGCAGACAUUCAGAGGAAACUAUUCAUUUAAUUCAAGCUGAAUUAGUGAUCCCGCGACAGUUUUGUACUCCAUAGCGACAACUCUUUUUCAAUAAAUCAUACUUAUGACCUGAGAGCUUCUGUUGUUCUUUAUGAUUCACUGAUCAACCGUGAAUGAAGAAACAAAUGCUGGAAUUUUGGUGACAGCAUAUUGGUAAUUCUCUCCAGGAGACUGCGGUCUCGCAAAGAAUCAGAGACCAAGGGAGGGCAGCUUCCUCAGAGACUCUGUAGCCCAGCUCAUCCAUCUUUAUAGAUGACAAAAUUCAGCUCAGAAAGGGGUCUGGUUAUAAUUCUGUUACACCGUGACAUCGUCCAAAUCAUGUGCUUUGGAAGACAGAUGACAAAGCCAUUAACCUGGUAGCCCUUCGGCCUUAUGAAGAAAAGUGGUUUGGUCCGCAAACUCAAACACCCGAGGAGUCACGCAACACAGUUCUCUGCUGUUGGGCAAAAACAGGGACCAUCAGCAGACCUGAGGACAAUUACUGGAGCAGUGUGGCUGAGGAGCUGCUUGGAGUCUCUCAUGGAUUGUCUUCACCUGCAAUGCCCAUUGGUUUCUUCCUGAUCAUUUGCAAGACUGGAAGCCAGAAGUGAAUCUGAAGAGACAAAAAGAUCAAUGGAUGAGCAUUAGAGUCAUUUCAGAUGCCUGUGACAUAAACUUCUCAUUGUGGGCUGCCGGCAUCAGAAAAAACAUGCAAAAGACUUGGAAAUGGCCAAGGGCGCCUACGUGGCUCAGUCGGUUAAGCGUUCGACUCUUGGUGUCGGCUCAAGUUAUGAUCUCACCGCUUGUGGGUUUGAGUCCCACACUGGGCUCUGUGCUGGCAGCGCAGCGCUUGGGAUUCUCUCUCUCUCCCUCUCUCUCUGCCCCUCUCACACUUGGGCUGUCUCUGUCUCUCUCAAAAUGAAUCAAUAAACUUACCCAAAAAAUAAAGAAAGAAAAUGGUCUUGUGCCAUUAUAAAAAGGAGAAAAAAAAAGAGACUCGGAAAUGGCCAGAAACUUAUCCUUGUGGGUUACCUUAGCCUUUCAUUGUUUCUAAGCCAUUUCCCCAUUCCCAGCUGUCGGGAGCUGAUAGCAACAAUGGGAAUGAUUCUUGUCCACAGACACGUGAAAUGACUUUCACCCUGUAAAGUGCAAUUAAUCCUCCCAUGCACCUUGUGGAAGAAGAAUGUGCAUCUAGUAAGCACAUUCAUUUGGGUAUUCCUGGUGGCAUAUAUAUAUAUAUAUGUGUGUGUGUGUGUGUGUGUGCGCUUUGAACUGUUCUUUGAAUUGGUUGGAAUUUCUUACCGUCUCUUCAUUAAUUAAUAAGUUAAAUAAAACCUUCGAUGAGCAUUCAUUUUAUGUGUAGGAAGUCAUUAUCAUAUCUAUGCAUAAAUAUACAUAUAUGUUAUGCCUAUAGAAAUCCUCUUCAUCAUAUGUACAUCAUACAUAUACUUUAAUGCUGGAGCAUGAACAAAUUCUUUGAAGUUUACCAAGCUGUAGUAGAUAGUUCCCUCUGUUAUUUAUUUGUCCUCAACGUGAUAAAUUGCUCUUACUGGGCACGGUCCUUUAAUAAUAAUUGCAGAGGGCCUUCCCAGUAGCCUCUCUACCUUGUGGCUGACUGUACCUACUUGAAAUCAGCGUUGGGGCGCCUGGGCAGC